rnacentral:rRNA from 1 species
AUUGAACGCUGGCGGCAGGCCUAACACAUGCAAGUCGAACGAGUGGCGGACGGGUGAGUAAUGUAUGGGAAUCUGCCCGAUGGAGGGGGAUAACUACUGGAAACGGUGGCUAAUACCGCAUACUAUCGGAUGUACCCAGAUGGGAUUAGCUAGUGGGUGGGGUAAAGGCUCACCUAGGCGACGAUCCCUAGCUGGUCUGAGAGGAUGAUCAGCCACACUGGGACUGAGACACGGCCCAGACUCCUACGGGAGGCAGCAGUGGGGAAUAUUGCACAAUGGGCGCAAGCCUGAUGCAGCCAUGCCGCGGGGAUGAAGAAGGCCUUAGGGUUGUAAAGUACUGUCAGCGGGGAGGCGUUACCCGCAGAAGAAGCACCGGCUAACGCCGUGCCAGCCGCCGCGGUAAUUC